GGUGGCUCAGUGGUAGAGUUCUUGCCUUGCAUGCAUGAGACCUUGGGUUUGAUUCCUCAGCACCA
rnacentral:tRNA from 1 species